rnacentral:rRNA from 1 species
GACGAACGCUGGCGGCGUGCCUAACACAUGCAAGUCGAACGGGACUUAUUGGAUCAAGACUUCGGUCAAGUGAAUUUAAGUUUAGUGGCGAACGGGUGAGUAACGCGUGAGCAACCUGCCUUUCAGAGGGGACAACAGUUGGAACGACUGCUAAUACCGCAUAAUAUAUCGAGAUCGCAUGAUAUUGAUAUCAAAGGAGCAAUCCGCUUGAAGAUGGACUCGCGUCUGAUUAGAUAGUUGGUGAGGUAACGGCUCACCAAGUCUACGAUCAGUAGCCGGCCUGAGAGGGUGACCGGCCACAUUGGGACUGAGACACGGCCCAAACUCCUACGGGAGGCAGCAGUGGGGAAUAUUGCACAAUGGGGGAAACCCUGAUGCAGCGACGCCGCGUGAGUGAUGAAGUAUUUCGGUAUGUAAAACUCUAUCAGCAGGGAAGAUAAUGACGGUACCUGACUAAGAAGCUCCGGCUAAAUACGUG